CUCGAAGAUUUUUUUUAGAAAAUCUUGAAGGAUUAUGGCAGCUUUCUAGUAAGAAUAUUUUCGCUCUGUAAGAUUUCUAUAAGAAUCCUGCGAGAACGCCGUGACUGGAGGGCUUUUGUUAAUUUGAAUAUUAUCCACCGGUGUCUACCGCGGUAAAUGAAAUACUUCAUUUUGACAUUUCCAGAUACAUUUUUGUGUAGCAUGUUUUGUCACGCGGUGGGUGCGUUCAGUGCUGCCGUUGUUGCAGCACUUUGUGAACGCACCCCAGAAAUGUCAGUUUGACAAAUGGUCACCAGUGAACGUAUCCCAGAAAUGUCAUCUUGACAACUGGAUUUUGAUGUUUUGUUUUCCAAUCGGGGGUUUUGUUUGCGCCACCAGAUUCGCGCUGAAGCGUCCUUGGUCGACUGGAGGAGAGCAGAGAUGGUCCGGACUGGCCGGCCGAACAUCUUUUCCGCCAGAGACUUGCCACCGAGGUCGCCGAUUGGGAUCAAGCGGUACACUUGCAAAAGCGUCUGCAGUGCUUCCUCAAGUGCCCAGCGUUGGAGUCGAUUCGCGGUGUGCAGUGGAUUUCCCUUCUUCGAGCGGAAGAUGGACAGAAGCGGCUUGUGGUCAGUCUGCAGUGUUGUCCGUAAUUGCGCUCAGCGAGUGUGAGCGACCUUGACGCGUGAUAAACUGCCUUGAGUCAGCCAUCAGGGAACUGACGUAAAAUGACGGCCCCGAUGCCGGUGCUCGACGCGUCCGCUGCAACGAUGAUCGGCAGCUUAGGAUCGAAGUCUGUUAGCAGCAGGCUUGACUGGAGCACCUUGAACUUCUCGAAAGCAUCAUGCUGGCACUCGGAUGUCCAACGCCACUUAGUGGCCUUCUUGAGCAGCUGAUCCAUAGAGCGGCGUACCUCGUGAAGGUUGCGAAUGAAUCUUUCGUAGAAGUUCACCGCGCCUAAGAACGAUCGCAGUUCGAACACGCUGGUUGGUGUGGGAAUGGCGGCAAUCGUCUUAAGAUUCUCGGGAUCGAGGCGGAUGGUACCGAAUUUGCAGCUGGAAAAACUGCGCUUCUCGCCCUUGGCGUGGAACCCGUAAUCCUUGGGACGAUGGAGCAACUGCUUGAGUGAAACUGCGUGCGAUUUCCGGUCUGGUCCAAACACGAUGACGUCAUCCAUGAACGAGCGUACACCACAAUUUUUAAACAUUUUUGCGUGCCCAUCGUACCAGACAAGGCAAUGAAUAACAAUCUUCCGAUUUGUGACCCUCUUGGUGUGCGACCCGGGACAGGCUAGUUGGUCGAUAUUUUGCGAUUCGGUACGGAGGAACUUUCAAGAAAAAGUUGAGUUUUUUCAAACUUUUAAUGUAAAAAAUAUAUAUUAUAUUUCUAUUUUUAAACUUUCUUUUGUAGUUUUUAAAUGUUUGUACUCAUCCCUUUAUCCCUUUGAUCGAUAUGUCAAAUGGACAUAAAGUUCCAAGUUUUUUUUGCUGUUUCUACAUAAUUACCGUUAUCUGUGGCGAAUUGGAACAGCUGUUUAGCCAGGUUCUUGCUCUAUCUUUUGAUAUUUUUUUAUUUAUUUCGGUUAGAACAGAUACAGAUCAAUUAGUUAGAACUUCGAUUUUCUAAUUUAUAGACUUUAAUGAUUUAAAAACUGCAGUCCCUAUUCAGACUGUAGUCCCGAUUCACCAAAUUUACGAUACUCAAAAAAAACUUCAGUUUGACAGAAGAUUGUGUAGCAAUUUUUUAAAACCAGUUUUUUAACGAGUAAAAUAACCGUCUUUGGCAUCGUUUGGCUGAAAAUGUAAUUUGUCAUUCCCUAGAAAUGUUUAUUGUUGUUGCUGUCUCAAAACAAGGAUCUAUUUUUAUGAGACAGAAAACAA